GGCAAGGGACAAGGGGAUGCCCAGGACUCAGGGCUUCCAGGAGCUGUUCACCAGCUUUCCAGACUAGAUGGCCCACCUUUGCUGGGCUACCCUUCCAGGGAACUGCUGACACUACCCAGAGAUACUACCCAAGUCUCCGUCCAGCCCAGACCCCUCAUGGAGCCCUGCUCUUAUGGAGCUGCCACAGUGGAUCGAGGACAGCCAACAGAUAGGCCCUAUAAGUAAGAGAUGGAGACAAAGAGAUUCUGCUUCCCAGAGACUUCCAGACUCACGGAAGUCUGGCUACCUCACUGAGCCACCUGGGCAACACGAGUGGCAAGCAGGACCACUGGGCACGAUGGAGGGAAAGGUGGGGACUUGGGUCCUUCCAUUUAAGCCAAGGUCCCCAGGGAGGGCUGAGUUCCUGCUGUAUUCCUGCUGGGCGUCCUCCUUAGGUCAACAGAAGGCCCAAGGAGGCUCAUCAGGGUCCUGGGCAUUUGGUCGGCAGCCUUGACAGCCUGGCUGGUCAGGGAUAGCCUCUGUGGACUCCAGCCAGACUCUGGAAGGCCAAGACCAAGGGGAGAGGCUCCUUGCUUUGGCCUGAGGGGUGAGGUAGGAUCAACCAGAUGAUGAGCGCCCUAGAGGAUGAGACCCAGAUGGCAGGAAAGGAACAUAGCCUCUGGGGUGACUCACACAGGAGUCUGUAAACCCGAGGUACCAAACCAGGGCUUCAGGAGGGGUGCUCCAGAACCCUGGGUGUGAGGUGUCAACCUGCAGGUUCUCAUCAUCCACUCCUUGACCUUCUCUCACUUUGUAAACUAGGAAGGCAAAGUCUUCCCCGCACC